rnacentral:rRNA from 2 species
CCCAGUAUGUAAGACCCCUUGAAGACGACGAGGUAGAUAGGUUGGAGGUGGAAGUGCAGCAAUGCAUGGAGCUGACCAAUACUAAUCGGUCGAGGGCUUAUCCAAAU